rnacentral:lncRNA from 1 species
UGUUAUGGUGAUUCAUACUUAAUUAUAGGCAUUAGAAUCAUAUAAUCAAAGUUUAGUGGAUUAGAAAGUGUAUUGGAACUUUGCGAAACCCGAAACGUGAAAAAAAUCUGAAAACUACACUGUGUACGGGUACACAUUGAAAGUGUUACCGAUUACAAACUGUGUACGGGUACAACCAUCAACGUGUUACCGGUUACAAACUGUGUAUGGGUACAACCAUCAACA